GACGAACGCUGGCGGCGUGCUUAACACAUGCAAGUCGAACGGCAACGCCCUGCUUUUGUGGGGUGCUCGAGUGGCGAACGGGUGAGUAACACGUGAGUAACCUGCCCUUGACUUUGGGAUAACUUCAGGAAACUGGGGCUAAUACCGGAUAGGAGCCCCUGCUGCAUGGUGGGGGUUGGAAAGUUUCGGCGGUUGGGGAUGGACUCGCGGCUUAUCAGCUUGUUGGUGGGGUAGUGGCUUACCAAGGCUUUGACGGGUAGCCGGCCUGAGAGGGUGACCGGCCACAUUGGGACUGAGAUACGGCGCAGACUCCUACGGGGGGCAACAGUGGGGAAUAUUGCACAAUGAGCGGAAGCCUGAUGAGGCAACGCCGCGUGCGGGAUGACGGCCUUCGGGUUGUAAACCGCUUUCGCCUGUGACGAAGCGUGAGUGACGGUAAUGGGUGAAGAAGCACCGGCUAACUACGUG
rnacentral:rRNA from 1 species